rnacentral:tRNA from 2 species
CCUUCGAUAGCUCAGUUGGUAGAGCGGUGGACUGUAGAUUAAGAAUACUGGUAUAGUCAUCCAUAGGUCGCUGGUUCAAAUCCGGCUCGAAGGA